rnacentral:rRNA from 1 species
GUCUACAGCCGUGCCACCCUGACCAAGCCCAAUGUUUGAUCUCUGAAGCUAAGCAGGAUCAGGCCUGGUUAGUACUUGGAUGGGAGACUGCCUAGGAAGACUAGGUGCUGUAGGCA